CCUAUAUGCGACCGAUCGCGCUCGAAAGAGUGAGGAAAGUCCGGACUCCAUAGGGCAUGGGACUCGGUUGUUAAAGCCGAGGGUGUAAUGGCAAACGUUGCAGACGGAAAGCGCCACAGAAACAAACCGCCUGCUUUCGGGCAGGUAAGGGUGAAAAGGCGGUGUAAGAGACCACCGGAAUGGGAAGACCAUUUGCAAGGCAAGCCCUCCCAGGAGCAAGAUCAAAUAGAGAAUUGAGCGAGCUGCCCGUUCGCCCCGAACCUACGGGUGAGGUUAAAUUCUGGGUUGAUUGCGAUAGAUGAAUGAUCGGAUUUGCCGCAAGGCAAAGAACAGAAUCUGGCUUAUUCGCAAGGCUUU
rnacentral:RNase_P_RNA from 1 species